rnacentral:rRNA from 1 species
AUUGAACGCUGGCGGCAGGCCUAACACAUGCAAGUCGAGCGGAUGAGAGGAGCUUGCUCCUUGAUUCAGCGGCGGACGGGUGAGUAAUGCCUAGGAAUCUGCCUGGUAGUGGGGGACAACGAUUCGAAAGGAACGCUAAUACCGCAUACGUCCUACGGGAGAAAGCAGGGGACCUUCGGGCCUUGCGCUAUCAGAUGAGCCUAGGUCGGAUUAGCUAGUAGGUGGGGUAAUGGCCCACCUAGGCGACGAUCCGUAACUGGUCUGAGAGGAUGAUCAGUCACACUGGAACUGAGACACGGUCCAGACUCCUACGGGAGGCAGCAGUGGGGAAUAUUGGACAAUGGGCGAAAGCCUGAUCCAGCCAUGCCGCGUGUGUGAAGAAGGUCUUCGGAUUGUAAAGCACUUUAAGUUGGGAGGAAGGGCAGUUAGUUAAUACCUGACUGUUUUGACGUUACCAACAGAAUAAGCACCGGCUAACUUCGUGCCAGCCGCCGCGGUAA